GGAUGAAUGAUCUAGAAGUCUAAGAGUCCGGAAUUGGUUAUCCGGAAACGUGGGUGUGAAUCCCACUUCGUCCG